ensembl:lncRNA
CCUACAACAACAUAGAGAUAACAUGGAGCUGGCAGGUGAUCCAGGUCACAAUAGAGGUCAAGCAGUGGGAGGAGGAAGACGUGGUGGUCAAAGGAAUGUCAAAGGACAAGCACCCCUUCUGAGAGGUGGUCGUGGGCCUCGUUUGAGAUGUGUGGGGGAACGUGGUAGAGGACAAGCACCCCUUCUGAGAGGUGGUCGUGGGCCUUGUUUGAGAUGUGUGGGGGAACGUGGUAGAGGACAAGCACCCCUUCUGAGAGGUGGUCGUGGGCCUUGUUUGAGAUGUGUGGGGGAAUGUGGUAGAGGACAAACACCCCCUCUGAGAGAUGGUCGUGGGCCUCGUUUGAGAUGUGUGGGGGAAUGUGGUAGAGGACAAACACCCCUUCUGAGAGAUGGUCGUGGGCCUCGUUUGAGAGGUGUGGGGGAACGUGGUAGAGGAUAAGGCCACGGACCAAGACAGCGGCAGCAACAGCAGAGAGUGUCCAAUGAAAUCCGAGCAAUAGUUGUAGACCAUGUCGUAAAUCAUGACAAUGACUGAGGCAGCUACAAUGAUUCAACCAAACCUCAGAAGAUCAACCGUGGCCUCAAUCAUCAGAACUUUACGCAAUGAGAACCGGAACCAUGAAUUAUAACUACGCUGCGUCUUGGUCCGAUCCCUGCUACACCUCUUCUUCAGAGGAAGAGGAAGAAGAGAACCGUUACAACCACACAGUAGGUGAUAGGGUGAUGGAGCUGGAUGCUGAUGAAAACCAUCACAAAUUCCUAUUUUUGGAUGAGGUAGGUUUCAACCUGGCCAAGACAAGGAGGAGAGGUCGGAAUUUCAUUGGCCAGCGGGCAACCAUCCAAGUACCAGGACAACGUGGGGAAAACAUCACCAUGUGAGUGGCUAUAUCAGAAGAGGGUGUGGUGGGAUGCAGACCUCGUAUUGGAUCAUAUAAUGCAGCUCUCCUUGUAACCUUCCUUGAUGAUCUAAAUCAGGUCUGUAGAGCUGAUGGCGUGACCUAUGUCAUUGUGUGGGAUAAUGUCAGGUUUCACCAUGCUCAAAUGGUACAAGCAUGGUUUCAGGCCUAUCCACAAUUUACCACCCUGUACUUACCCCAUACCCUCCUUUCCUCAACCCGAUUGAGGAAUAUUUCUCCACAUGGAGGUGGAAGGUGUAUGAUCGGCGCCCUCAUGAACAAGCCACCCUUCUCCAGGCCAUGGAUGACGCAUGCAAUGACAUCACGGCAGACCAGUGUCAGGCCUGGAUUUGUCAUGCACAAAGAUUCUUCCCAAGAUGUUUAGCUAAUGAAAACAUCCAUUGUGAUGUGGAUGAGAACCUGUGGUGUCCAAAUCCACAAGACAGGGUUGUUGGGAAUAUAGAAGUACAGUAAUCAACCCUUUGUUCUGGUUUUUACAGUAGGCAAGGUGAGGAACACUGCAGUGAUGUUUUACAGUAAGCCAGG